UACGUAGGGUGCAAGCGUUAAUCGGAAUUACUGGGCGUAAAGCGUGCGCAGGCGGUUAUGUAAGACAGAUGUGAAAUGCCCGGGCUUAACCUGGGAACUGCAUUUGUGACUGCAUGGCUAGAGUUUGGCAGAGGGGGGUAGAAUUCCACGUGUAGCAGUGAAAUGCGUAGAGAUGUGGAGGAACACCGAUGGCGAAGGCAGCCCCCUGGGUCAAGAUUGACGCUCAUGCACGAAAGCGUGGGGAGCAAACAGG
rnacentral:rRNA from 1 species